rnacentral:rRNA from 1 species
UACGGGGGGGGGCAAGCGUUGUUCGGAAUUACUGGGCGUAAAGGGUGCGUAGGCGGCGCGGUAAGUCGGGUGUGAAAUCUCGGAGCUUAACUCCGAAACUGCAUUCGAUACUGCCGUGCUUGAGGACUGGAGAGGAGACUGGAAUUUACGGUGUAGCGGUGAAAUGCGUAGAUAUCGUAAGGAAGACCAGUGGCGAAGGCGGGUCUCUGGACAGUUCCUGACGCUGAGGCACGAAGGUCAGGGGAGCAAACGGG